GCCGGGCGCGGUGGCACGUGCCUGUAGUCCCAGCUACUCGGGAGGCUGAGGCUGGAGGAUCGCUUGAGCCCAGGAGUCCUGGGCUGUAGUGCACUAUGCUGAUCGGGUGUCCGCACUAAGUUUGGCAUCAAUAUAGGGACCUCCAGGGAGCAAGGGACCAUCAGGUUGCCUAAGGAGGGGUGAACCGGCCCAGGUCGGAAACAGAGCAGGUCAAAACUCCCGUGCUGAUCAGUAGUGGGAUCGCGCCUGUGAAUAGCCACUGCACUCCAGCCAGGGCAACAGAGAGAGACCCCAUCUCUU
ensembl:misc_RNA Metazoa_SRP Metazoan signal recognition particle RNA